rnacentral:rRNA from 1 species
GGAGGAUCCGAGCGUUAUCCGGAUUUAUUGGGUUUAAAGGGAGCGUAGGCGGACGCUUAAGUCAGUUGUGAAAGUUUGCGGCUCAACCGUAAAAUUGCAGUUGAUACUGGGUGUCUUGAGUCCAGUAGAGGCAGGCGGAAUUCGUGGUGUAGCGGUGAAAUGCUUAGAUAUCACGAAGAACUCCGAUUGCGAAGGCAGCCUGCUGGACUGUAACUGACGCUGAUGCUCGAAAGUGUGGGUAUCAACCAGGAUUAGAUACCCUGGUAGUCCCCCCAGUAAACGAUGAAUACUCGCUGUUUGCGAUAUCCAGUAAGCGGCCAAGCGAAAGCGUUAAGUAUUCCACCUGGGGAGUACGCCGGCACCGGUG